ensembl:lncRNA
GGAGGCCACAUGGUGAGGCAUUAGUACCAGUGAUCCCUCCUGCUGAUGUCACCACGCUGAUAAGGAGGGAGCAUGGCUGGUGAAGCCCUUAUCUGUAGAGGCCAUCUGAAAUGGCACUGCACAGGCUGGGAGACAAGCGGCAAGAAAGCAGAAAGGGACCUGGGGUGUUGAUGACAGCAAGGAUGUUAGGGUCCUUGAAGGCAUCAAGAGGAGGGCAACAAAGCAGCCAAUUCUACAUUCCAAGCCUGGACCGCCUGUACUUUGCUGCCAUUGCUUGUGGCAGGUGUCACCAACAACCAGAGCAAAAACAGCCAAGUUCACUGCAGCAUGCCAAAAAGUGUGCCACAGCCCGGGCCCACAUCUUUGUCCGCAAGGUGCAGCCAAGCACAGCACUCCAGAAGGACAGGAAUCACCAGUGAGCAGUUCCAGCCUCCUGAUGGCUUCCAAACUGAAAUACUAUUCUUCUGUGCUUCUACCUGGCCACAAAUUGAGCUGCUGCCAUUGCAACAGGUUCUGGCCUUCCUGCACUAGUAGGUGCACCUUGCGAACAUUGUGGCAUUCCUGUACACAAAGCCAAAUCUGGGCUGCACAAAAUGAGGACUCCAAACAUACCCAAUAGCAGUUGUGUCCCAGCAUGUGUGCGGAAAGAUUUCUGCUAAACUCCCAGUGGUUCCCAUCAACAAAGCCACUACGUCAGAUGUGGGCAGCUACUGGUGUUCGAAACACGUUCUGCCCAGAGCACAUCCAUGCACAACACAGUCAGGACUGUGGGCACCCGCUCUGUUCUUCCUGCUGGGGCUGAAAAAGAGUGUCUGUGUUAAUGGAGAUCUGGCUGGUGCUUCUAGGUGAGCUGUUCAGACAUUGACCUGUGUGUAGUUAAACAAAUCACCCCGUCUGCAAGGAUUUGUGCGAGAAAACAAAUGACAGAGCAAACAGAGGACAGAACAGCUGUGACAGCAGUAAGGACUGAGCCUCACCCUUUAAAAGGUUUUCGAGUCUCAGUGAUUCCUAUUACAGAUGGAGUGGAAUUAGGAACCUUGAGUGUGUACUUCUGUCCUCACAGGGGAAUACCGGAGCAAAAAAACAUGCUGUUCUCACAGCUCAAUUACAAUGAGGAAAACACUGACUCUAAUGGCAAGUAAUUGUUGUCUUUGUUCUUUCUGCUCUUUUAUUUUUAAGAGGAUUUUACCUUACACGAAAGUUGCUCAUAGUGAGGGGAACCAGCUAAGGUUCUCAUUGGCAGCUGGGCCUCGUGCUGGGGCUGUGCAGGGGAGCAGUGCAGAGAACGGCAGCUCAGAAAUGAGAGUGAAUUCAUACAUGUCCAGGGGCUCCACACAGCAGCGUCACGGCAUGGCCAAGGCCACAGCUGCAGGCAGUGGUCUGUGCUGGGGACUUCUUCCUGGGCUGCCCAAGGAUUUGCCCCUUUGAAACAAUCCUGAAAGAAGUUUUGUGUACAGCUGCAUUAUAAACAGUUACACAUGGAAGAUGGAUCUGUACUGCAAACAUACGUGGCAGGUGGAUCAAGGACACCCAAAGGACACGCACGUGGAGGUACUGCUGCAUGUAUGCAAGACUUAGCAGAAGCAGAAGGUUACAACCGAGGUUAGAUGUACUUCAGCUCUCUAUGAAAAAGGAUCUAAAUAAUCUGGCAGCUUUUCACGUUUGUGAUAUUUUGGAUCAUCACACAGUUUUAAAGAAGCUAUCAGUCCGAAAGGGAAAUGUUCAACCCAACAGGAACUGCUGAAUCAGCUUGAGGUUAUGAUUCCAGCAAGUGGUGGUAGGCUAAAGAACAGACAAAGAUCAGAAGUGAAUUAUAGCUGUAUCACAGGACUAGGUGGGAUGAUGGGCUAAAGCAGCAUUCCUAAAAACAUGACAGCAAAAUCCUUAAACUAAGAGAGCAAAAGGAAGUUUGCAUGAAGUCAUACCACCGUGGCACCUUGGUUCUUCUGUUUCACCAAAUGUGUGUCAUUUGGCUGCACGUUUUUGCCUCAUUCCUUUGCUCACCUGGUAGAGGGGAAGGAAGAGACUUUCCAAAAUUUACUGCAAGGUGUUGAUGGUUACUUUAAGAUACAAGAGCAGAUUUUUAUGAGCACGACAUGCAAGCUCUCCUUCAUUGUACUGAGAAUUUGCUCUACCAAUUAGUGUUGUAGUGCUCUUUGUAUCCCCUCUGGAUGCAGGACGUUCUGGGGGGGCACCCUGUGGAAAUCUGGGGGGAGGAAAGCAUGGCAGGAAGCACAUGAGCCUUGUGUAGAAGCAACCGGCGUUGCUUCAAGCAAACAGGUAGCCCUAAGCUUACCACAUCCUGCCAUGAGAAAUGAGCACAGAGAGCGACUACCAAAGAAAAUAAAAACGCAAAACGUUGCCAGGAGGGUGUGGAGGAGAUGUUUCAAACGCUUCCUGCUGAGAGCGGCAGGCCGGGCCCCUCAGGCUCGGCGUAACAGAACUGCAGAACGGUUUGCGUUGGAAGGGCUCUCAAAGACCACCGAAGGGCACCGUCCACCUGCCG